AUGACAGCAAUGUGCGAGCAUCUGCAAACUAAUUCAAAAAUAUGUGCUGCUACAUACAUUACAUACAAUAAGUAACUCAUCUGUGACAGCACAGAGCAGAGUCCACCUGUUCGGACAUUAGAUUCCAUCUUGCAAAGCAUUUCGAGUGACAACUCACAUCAUGGACAUGUCAAUUCACAGAGUGUGAAAUGGUCCGGUUUGCAACGCAGUGGGGGUGCUGCCUGGCACAUCACUGCCUGAGGUUCCCGCCUCCACCCCCACUUCUCGACUGUCAUCGCCAGUGCAGCCUCCACUGCUCCUGAUGCUACAGUCGCCGCUGCCUCUGCCAGAGGCGUUACACCGUCAUCUCCGACGGCCACAUUGAAGCCUCCAACGUCAACCGCUGACCUCGACGAGCACGUCGCUAAGGAGAUAUCAAUACCCAGUCCUGCCCUACAGCCUCUCACGAGAAGGGGGAUGGCAUGCCAACCUGCUCCCUCAUCAGCUCCGCAGCUACUCGACGAUGUCUGCCUGCCACAUGCUGCAGCAGACGUCAUCGUCAUCAGGCGAUGAAAUGGAUUACCAAAUAAGCAGCAACCAGUCGCAAUUUUGCAUAUCGAUUUCAACUGAUUAACAGCCAUCAUCAGUUAUUACUCAGGGAACAUACACGUUGAAUGCACCGAUGAUGGCUGUUAAUCAGCUGAAAUCGAUAUGUAAAAUUAAAUAAAGAAAACAUGAUCUUGCGACUGGUUGCUGCUUAUUUGGUAAUUUUAUGGUUUACGGUCGCUGCACAACUUGGGAACCAUAUGGAGCCCCCAUUCAGAUGAAAUUGAUGUCAGUGCCGUCAUAGGUGUUUUCCGUGGCUCGUAAUCCUAUUGCUUUUUUCCCCACGGUAACCACACUUUUUCCGUACCAGUCCUUCUUUCCUGUUCCGUGCAUUUUUUCCCUGUUCCAUGCAUUUUUUUUCCUGUUCCAUGCUUUU